UACGGAGGGAGCAAGCGUUACUCGGCAUUAUUGGGCGUAAAGGGCGCGUAGGCGAUUUGAACAGUCUUGUGUGAAAGCCCCGAGCUUAACUCGGGAAGUGCACAAGAAACUGUUGAAUUUGAGUUCCGGAGAGGAAGGCAGAAUUCCCGGUGUAGCGGUGAAAUGCGUAGAUAUCGGGAGGAAUACCAGUGGCGAAGGCGGCCUUCUGGACGGAUACUGACGCUGAGGCGCGAAAGCCAGGGGAGCAAACGGG
rnacentral:rRNA from 1 species